GCGGCCUAUUUCAAGGUGCAAGCCCCGCCUCCCGGGCGGCCUAUUUCAAGGCGCAAGCCCCGCCUCCUGGACGGCCUAUUUCAAGGCGCAAGCCCCGCCUCCAGGGCGGCCUAUUUCAAGGCGCAAGCCCCGCCGCCCGGGUGGCCUAUUUCAGGGCGCAAGCUCCGCCUCCUAGCCCUAUUUCAAGGUGCACCCUCUGCCUCCUGGGCGGCCUAUUUCAAGGUGCAAGCUCCUCCUCCUAGCCCUAUUUCAAGGUGCACCCUCUGCCUCCUGGGCGGCCUAUUUCAAGGUGCACCCUCUGCCUCCUGGGCGGCCUAUUUCAAGGUGCUCGCUGCACAGAUGGGAGUGGUUUUCUGCAGUGGUCACGGAUGAACUCAAUAACACCCAAGUCACACGCUGCUCCACCCUUACAGUGGCCUCGUAUCACAAAAGAACGUGUAGGUUGCUUUGUG
rnacentral:lncRNA from 1 species